rnacentral:rRNA from 1 species
CCUACGGGAGGCUGCAGUAGGGAAUAUUGCACAAUGGGGGAAACCCUGAUGCAGCAACGCCGCGUGAGUGAUGAAGUAUUUCGGAUUGUAAAGCUCUAUCGUCAGGGAAGAUAAUGACGGUACCUGACGAAGAAGCCCCGGCUAACUACGUGCCAGCAGCCGCGGUAAUACGUAGGGUGCAAGCGUUAUCUGGAUUUACUGGGUGUAAAGGGAGCGGAGGUGGGAUGGGAAGGCAGAAGUGAAAACCCGGUGCUCAACCCCGCGAAUUGCUUUUGAAACUGUCAUGCUGGAGUGUGGGAGGGGUAGGCGGAAUUCCUGGUGUAGCGGUAAAAUGCGUAGAUAUUAAGAGGAACACGCGUGGCGAAGGCGGCCUGCUGGA